CGUACGUCUAGGCUCACACAGUCAAGGUUUGCUCUUUUGCCUUCGAAAAACAGCAUUCGGGGUUAAUAUGAAUCUUCUUCUAAUAUAAAUCGGAAACUAUACAACUUGCAGUGAAGGUAUGUCUGUUAUUAAAGUACGUUUUCCGUAUGCCCUUAUGAUCUAGUUUUAAAACUUUAAUUACUAGGGCGGCGGGCUGAGCUGUUGUUCGAAAGCUGACUAGCUGCAUGAACCACAGGUAAACCUUAGUUGGCAGGAAAAAGAUUUCUACUUCCAGUGCAAUGAAAGGCCAGAAUUUCAAACCUUAUAUAUAUAAAUAUAUGUAUAUAGCACACUCACAAUAUUACUCCAAGUUGAAGCAAAGGCCACAUUGUGAUAAACAGUUGAAUAUAACGCCAAUCUUUAAUAACGUAAGAUAUCAAUGCCAAUGACAUGACACCAACAGGCCAAAAUGAAGUAUACACUAUACCAGAUACACUACGAUAUUGUACUGCUAGUAUUUCCAUGAAACUUAGAAAUGAUGUCAUCUGUAAACCCUAAGAAAUCAGAAUUUAGACUAGAA